AAAUUGAAGAGUUUGAUCAUGGCUCAGAUUGAACGCUGGCGGCAGGCCUAACACAUGCAAGUCGAACGGUAGCACAGAGAGCUUGCUCUCGGGUGACGAGUGGCGGACGGGUGAGUAAUGUCUGGGAAACUGCCUGAUGGAGGGGGAUAACUACUGGAAACGGUGGCUAAUACCGCAUAACGUCGCAAGACCAAAGAGGGGGACCUUCGGGCCUCUUGCCAUCAGAUGUGCCCAGAUGGGAUUAGCUUGUUGGUGAGGUAACGGCUCACCAAGGCGACGAUCCCUAGCUGGUCUGAGAGGAUGACCAGCCACACUGGAACUGAGACACGGUCCAGACUCCUACGGGAGGCAGCAGUGGGGAAUAUUGCACAAUGGGCGCAAGCCUGAUGCAGCCAUGCCGCGUGUAUGAAGAAGGCCUUCGGGUUGUAAAGUACUUUCAGCGGGGAGGAAGGUGUUGUGGUUAAUAACCGCAGCAAUUGACGUUACCCGCAGAAGAAGCACCGGCUAACUCCGUGCCAGCAGCCGCGGUAAUACGGAGGGUGCAAGCGUUAAUCGGAAUUACUGGGCGUAAAGCGCACGCAGGCGGUCUGUCAAGUCGGAUGUGAAAUCCCCGGGCUCAACC
rnacentral:rRNA from 3 species